UAAUAAUGCUAGCAGAGAGAGCCCACCAUGAGGCUAUUGUGCAAUUGAACGAUGCUGGAAGAAAUGUUUUUAAAGAGAAUGUUUAUCUCCAGAAAGCUCUGGCAUAUCACCUGAAGGAAACUGACGCUCUACAAAAAAACUCCCAGAAGUUGCAAGAGAGUCAUACUUUACUUUUACAUCAAAAGGUUCCCUCUCAUUUAGACUUGGUGUCCUUCUUUUCUUUAUUUAAGGAUUGGGUUGGUAAAUACCAAAAAUUGGGUAUAAUAAUGAUAUAUAAGGACAAUGAGACCAUUUUCAUCUGUCUGGAUGAUGCACUUUUUUUAUCUGAAAAGGUUAAAUACUCAAUCUUAUAAUGCUUAUAAGAAGCACUAGACUCAACUUAUAAAGAAUAUAUCAGAAACAUAAAUAUGACCCUUAUCCUCUACUACCUUAGAAUAUUCAUUUUUCUUUGCUUAGAGUUGGUCCCUGAGUCACUUAGGAAUACAUUUAGCGGUGAGUAACAGUCCUGACAUCAGUGACAUCACCACACAAGGGUUUAUUCUUUCACCUAAAGGAGGCCUGGAGGUAAGCAAUCCACAGCAGGAAUGGUAGUGCCACAAAGUUAAUAGACACUCAGCUUCCUUAACUCUGCUCUGCAACACUUGGCUUACAUCCUCAAACUCACCUCACAGCCUGGGGGGCGCUGCUGGAGCUCUAACCAUUC
rnacentral:sRNA from 1 species